AAACCAAGACGAUUAAGUUAUACUUCAUCGGUAAAAAGACAGUUAGGCGAUGUCUAAUAACUAGUUAAUUUAAUUGUUAUUCAGAGGUAAAAUUCGAAAAUAAUUUAGAGAUCCAAAAUCUACUAGAAAGCUGAAGCUGUGACAACUUUGGGGGAAACUGGGAUUAGAUACCCCAUUAUUCUUAGAAGUAAAAAAACGCUAGUUUACCGGAGUACUAUGAACUCGUAGAUUUAAAACUCAAAGAGCUUGGCGGUGUUUUAGACUCUUCAGGGGAACCUGUCUCAUAAUCGACAAUCCACGUUAAACCUGACCUUUACUCGCUACCAGUUUGUAUACCGUCGUCGUCAGGUAACUUUUCAGAAUAAAGGAGUUAGCAAAAAGAGUUAAUUUAUAACCUUCGACGUCAGAUCAAGGUGCAGCCCAUGUAGAGGGGAGGAUGGGUUACAAUUAUUAUAGUUAUAAGAACGAAAUAAUUAUUUUAAAAGCAACUAUGAAGGAGGACUUGAAAGUAAAACGAAUUACAUAAACAGGUUGAAUCAAGCUCUGGAACGUGC
rnacentral:rRNA from 1 species